rfam:Cajanus cajan CcLG10_212, whole genome shotgun sequence.
UAAGGGGUAAGAGAGCUUUCUUCAGUCCACUCAUGGGUGGUAGUAAGUUUCAAUUAGCUGCCGACUCAUUCAUCCAAAUGCUGAGUAAAAGAUACUUAGCAAAUGAGUGAAUGAUGCGGGAGACAAGUUGAAUCUUAAACUUCCUGUACUUGGACUGAAGGGAGCUCCCUUUUCGUUUUUU